CCUACGGGUGGCAGCAGUGGGGAAUAUUGCACAAUGGGGGAAACCCUGAUGCAGCGACGCCGCGUGAGUGAAGAAGUAAUUCGGUAUGUAAAGCUCUAUCAGCAGGGAAGAAAAUGACGGUACCUGAGUAAGAAGCCCCGGCUAACUACGUGCCAGCAGCCGCGGUAAUACGUAGGGGGCAAGCGUUAUCCGGAUUUACUGGGUGUAAAGGGAGCGUAGACGGCAGAGCAAGUCUGGAGUGAAAGGCGGGGGCUAAACCCCCGGACUGCUCUGGAAACUGUGCGGCUGGAGUGCAGGAGAGGUAAGUGGAGUUCCUGGUGUAGCGGGGAAAUGGGUAGAUAUUGGGGGGAACCCGAGUGGCGAGGGCGGCUUAUUGAACUGUAACUGACGUUGGGGUUCGAAAGCGUGGGGGGCAAACAGGAUUAGAUACCCGAUAGUC
rnacentral:rRNA from 1 species